rnacentral:rRNA from 1 species
UUGCUGGCGACCGGCGCACGGGUGAGUAACACGUAUCCAACCUGCCGAUAACUCGGGGAUAGCCUUUCGAAAGAAAGAUUAAUACCCGAUGGCAUAAUUAGACCGCAUGGUCUUAUUAUUAAAGAAUUUCGGUUAUCGAUGGGGAUGCGUUCCAUUAGGCAGUUGGUGAGGUAACGGCUCACCAAACCUUCGAUGGAUAGGGGUUCUGAGAGGAAGGUCCCCCACAUUGGAACUGAGACACGGUCCAA